rnacentral:rRNA from 1 species
CAGCAGCCGCGGUAAUACCGGCGGCCCGAGUGGUGGCCGCUAUUAUUGGGCCUAAAGCGUCCGUAGCCGGGCCCGUAAGUCCCUGGCGAAAUCCCACGGCUCAACCGUGGGGCUUGCUGGGGAUACUGCGGGCCUUGGGACCGGGAGAGGCGGGGGGGACCCCUGGGGGAGGGGUGGAAUCCUAUAAUCCCAGGGGGACCGCCAGUGGCGAAGGCGCCCCGCUGGAACGGGUCCGACGGUGAGGGACGAAGGCCAGGGGAGCAAACCGGAUUAGAUACCCGGGUAGUCCUGGCUGUAAAGGAUGCGGGCUAGGUGUCGGGUGAGCUUCGGGCUCGCCCGGUGCCGUAGGGAAGCCGUUAAGCCCGCCGCCUGGGGAGUACGGCCGCAAGGCUGAAACUUAAAGGAAUUGGCGGG